rnacentral:tRNA from 1 species
UUGAUAGCUCAGUUGGUUAGAUUGUGGUGCUAAUAAUGCCAAGGUUGCAGGUUCAAUCCCUGGGACAGCUAAA